AAGGGAGGAUCGGCCAUGAGCCAAAAAAGAGAGAGAGAGGUAAGCGCUAGUAGUAUAAAUGGGGGACCAGGGAUAUUUGCAUGGUUUCAUUCAAAAUUAAACAAGGAAAGGAAAGAGCAUCUCUACCCAGAGAAAUAAAAUUAUGUGAUACCCUCUCUCUUGCAAAACUUGCCAUUUGUUGGAUAGUUGCUAAACCUGCAUCAGAUUGGUGCCAGCUGCAAAAUACUAGUACUACUACUUCCACUUUAUAUAUAAAUAUAUAUAUAUAGUUCUGUUUUUGAAAAUUUUGAUUCAGACAAUGAUGAAAAUGACUAUGAUGUUAUGAAAAAGUUGUUGCUUUAGAAAUUUCUUAUCCCUUUUGGUUAUGUGCCCUAGCUCUAUAGGUGUGAUAAUGGAACCAACAUAUAUAUAUAUUUAUGUGUGAAAGUCACCAUCUCUAGAAUAAAGCCUUGCAUUAUGAAGUAGAAAAUGAGAUUGGUUUAAUUGGUAUAAGUUAUGAGGUUAUGAUUAAUAAAAUGUUUAGUGUUCUAAAUACCCGAUGAGAUUUGCCUUA